rnacentral:rRNA from 1 species
UACGUAGGGGGCAAGCGUUGUCCGGAUUUAUUGGGCGUAAAGAGCGUGUAGGCGGCUGGGUAGGUCCGUUGUGAAAACUCGAGGCUCAACCUCGAGACGCCGAUGGAAACCCCCCAGCUAGAGUCCGGAAGAGGAGAGUGGAAUUCCUGGUGUAGCGGUGAAAUGCGCAGAUAUCAGGAGGAACACCGGUGGCGAAGGCGGUUCUCUGGGCAUUACCUGACGCUGAGGAGCGAAAGUGUGGGGAGCGAACAGG